CAACUCGCGAUCAUGAAGACGAGUGGCCUAGGCUAGUGACCACAUUGCACAUAUCGUGGGGUGCUAAGCUUAAGGUCUUCCCAAGAGGAAGAGCUUGCGUCAUUAUUUGUGGCAGAGGGGGUUUGCGUUCGCGCAGCCCCUACCAUAUGACCAGAGUCCCACAUCGGAAGCACAUAUAAAGUUGAUGGGUAUUGUGUGACUAUAAAAGAAGGAGGCUCUCGUUAUGUAAAAACCAUCUUUGCGCUUGGGGCAAUGACGCAGCUAAUGAGGUUCUAACCGAGGCGCGUCUAUUGCUGGUUGAAAACUAUUUCCAAACCCCCUCCUAGGCCUUUGCUUGUCUUUGGCCUUCGAGAAUUUCUGGAAGAGCUCCCUUCGGGGUAAAGCUCUACAAUUCCUAGUAUCAAUCUUAUAUCUUUUAAAAUGUUGGCUUAUCUCCAAUUUUAAAAUGAUGUGUGUAUCGUCGUUUGCUAAACACAGUUUUUGCU